rnacentral:rRNA from 1 species
AACGAACGCUGGCGGCAUGCCUAACACAUGCAAGUCGAACGAGACCUUCGGGUCUAGUGGCGCACGGGUGCGUAACGCGUGGGAACCUGCCCUUAGGUUCGGAAUAACUCCCCGAAAGGGGUGCUAAUACCGGAUAAUGCCUUCGGACCAAAGAUUUAUCGCCUUUGGAUGGGCCCGCGUUGGAUUAGCUAGUUGGUAGGGUAAAAGCCUACCAAGGCGACGAUCCAUAGCUGGUCUGAGAGGAUGAUCAGCCACACUGGGACUGAGACACGGCCCAGACUCCUACGGGAGGCAGCAGUGGGGGAUAUUGGACAAUGGGCGAAAGCCUGAUCCAGCAAUGCCGCGUGAGUGAUGAAGGCCUUAGGGUUGUAAAGCUCUUUUACCCGGGAUGAUAAUGACAGUACCGGGAGAAUAAGCUCCGGCUAACUCCGUG